GCCUUUUCCUGCCCUGGAUCUCCGCCGCCACCUCGGUCUCGCUGCUCCUGGGCGGGGGGUGAGGACGAGUCCGGAGUAUCUGGGGUUUGGCGUUGUUGUCAGCCUCGGGGAGAGAGAUUGGACAAAUAUUCUCCAAGAGGAGGAGGGCGACGCCAAGGACUUUCCACAUCAACUGCUUUGGGGUAUCUCCACAAGUUGGAAGAGGGACCCUUUCGUUUUGCAUUGCGUGUGUUGUGCUCAUUACCAGUGCAGCGACUGCCGUCCCAGGGUGACUCUGAGUUGUCCUUUAUCGUGAGCUAGCAAUGGCUAGCGAAGACAAUCGUGUCCCUUCCCCGCCACCAACAGGUGAUGACGGGGGAGGUGGAGGGAGAGAAGAAACCCCUACUGAAGGGGGUGCAUUGUCUCUGAAACCAGGGCUCCCCAUCAGGGGCAUCAGAAUGAAAUUUGCCGUGUUGACCGGUUUGGUUGAAGUUGGAGAAGUAUCCAAUAGGGAUAUUGUAGAAACUGUCUUUAACCUGACACAACAUCUUUUGGCAGAAGGAGG
rnacentral:lncRNA from 1 species